GGAGGGUGCAAGCGUUGUUCGGAAUUACUGGGCGUAAAGGGUGUGCAGGCGGUCUGCUAAGUCGGAUGUGAAAGCCCUUGGGCUCAACCAAGGAAGUGCAUUCGAAACUGGCGGACUAGAGUACGGGAGAGGAGAGCGGAAUUCCCAGUGUAGAGGUGAAAUUCGUUGAUAUUGGGAGGAACACCGGUGGCGAAAGCGGCUCUCUGGCCCAGUACUGACGCUGAGACACGAAAGCGUGGGGAGCAAACAGGAUUAGAUACCCUGGUAGUCCACGCUGUAAACGAUGAAUACUAGGUGUGGGAAGUGUUGACCCUUUCCGUGCCGCAGCUAACGCAUUAAGUAUUCCGCCUGGGGAUUACGGCCGCAAGGCUA
rnacentral:rRNA from 1 species